rnacentral:rRNA from 1 species
CAGCCGCCGCGGGAAUACGGAGGGGGCUAGCGUUGUUCGGAAUUACUGGGCGUAAAGCGCACGUAGGCGGCUUUGUAAGUUAGGGGUGAAAGCCCGGAGCUCAACUCCGGAAUUGCCUUUAAGACUGCAGAGCUAGCAGGUGAGAGAGGUGAGUGGAAUUCCGAGUGUAGAGGUGAAAUUCGUAGAUAUUCGGAAGAACACCAGUGGCGAAGGCGGCUCACUGGCUCAUACUGGACGCUGAGGUGCGAAAGCGUGGGGAGCAAACGGGAUUAGAUACCCGAGUAGUCCCUGUCUCUUAUAA